rnacentral:rRNA from 1 species
CCUUUUGUAUAAUGGGUCAGCGACUUAUAUUCUGUAGCAAGGUUAACCGAAUAGGGGAGCCGAAGGGAAACCGAGUCUUAACUGGGCGUUAAGUUGCAGGGUAUAGACCCGAAACCCGGUGAUCUAGCCAUGGGCAGGUUGAAGGUUGGGUAACACUAACUGGAGGACCGAACCGACUAAUGUUGAAAAAUUAGCGGAUGACUUGUGGCUGGGGGUGAAAGGCCAAUCAAACCGGGAGAUAGCUGGUUCUCCCCGAAAGCUAUUUAGGUAGCGCCUCGUGAAUUCAUCUCCGGGGGUAGAGCACUGUUUCGGCAAGGGGGUCAUCCCGACUUACCAACCCGAUGCAAACUGCGAAUACCGGAGAAUGUUAUCACGGGAGACACACGGCGGGUGCUAACGUCCGUCGUGAAGAGGGAAACAACCCAGACCGCCAGCUAAGGUCCCAAAGUCAUGGUUAAGUGGGAAACGAUGUGGGAAGGCCCAGACAGCCAGGAUGUUGGCUUAGAAGCAGCCAUCAUUUAAAGAAAGCGUAAUAGCUCACUGGUCGAGUCGGCCUGCGCGGAAGAUGUAACGGGGCUAAACCAUGCACCGAAGCUGCGGCAGCGACACUAUGUGUUGUUGGGUAGGGGAGCGUUCUGUAAGCCUGUGAAGGUGUGCUG